UUCUCUCUCUGGGUGUGGGAUGGGCUACGGAAACUGGCAAAGUUCAAAGAAUGCAUAGAGCUAUAAAAAUGUUUGGAAAACUGUCUGAGUUUAUUUUCACAAACAAACUUCAGUACUUUUUCAGGAGUGGAAUGUUUCUUAAAUUGUCUUGAAAAA